AGAGUUUGAUCAUGGCUCAGAUUGAACGCUGGCGGCAUGCCUUACACAUGCAAGUCGAACGGCAGCACGGAGCUUGCUCUGGUGGCGAGUGGCGAACGGGUGAGUAAUAUAUCGGAACGUACCCUGGAGUGGGGGAUAACGUAGCGAAAGUUACGCUAAUACUGCAUACGAUCUAAGGAUGAAAGUGGGGGAUCGCAAGACCUCAUGCUCGUGGAGCGGCCGAUAUCUGAUUAGCUAGUUGGUAGGGUAAAAGCCUACCAAGGCAUCGAUCAGUAGCUGGUCUGAGAGGACGACCAGCCACACUGGAACUGAGACACGGUCCAGACUCCUACGGGAGGCAGCAGUGGGGAAUUUUGGACAAUGGGCUGGAAAGCCUGAUCCAGCAAUGCCGCGUGAGUGAAGAAGGCCUUCGGGUUGUAAAGCUCUUUUGUCAGGGAAGAAACGGUGAGAGCUAAUAUCUCUUGCUAAUGACGGUACCUGAAGAAUAAGCACCGGCUAACUACGUGCCAGCAGCCGCGGUAAUACGUAGGGUGCAAGCGUUAAUCGGAAUUACUGGGCGUAAAGCGUGCGCAGGCGGUUUUGUAAGUCUGAUGUGAAAUCCCCGGGCUCAACCUGGGAAUUGCAUUGGAGACUGCAAGGCUAGAAUCUGGCAGAGGGGGGUAGAAUUCCACGUGUAGCAGUGAAAUGCGUAGAUAUGUGGAGGAACACCGAUGGCGAAGGCAGCCCCCUGGGUCAAGAUUGACGCUCAUGCACGAAAGCGUGGGGAGCAAACAGGAUUAGAUACCCUGGUAGUCCACGCCCCUAAACGAUGUCUACUAGUUGUCGGGUCUUAAUUGACUUGGUAACGCAGCUAACGCGUGAAGUAGACCGCCUGGGGAGUACGGUCGCAAGAUUAAAACUCAAAGGAAUUGACGGGGACCCGCACAAGCGGUGGAUGAUGUGGAUUAAUUCGAUGCAACGCGAAAAACCUUACCUACCCUUGACAUGGCUGGAAUCCUCCAGAGAAUGAGGAGUGCUCGAAAGAAAACCAGUUCACAGGUGGGGCGGGGGUGUGGUCAGCUCCGGGCGUGGGAAGUGGGGGUUAGUCCCGCAACCAACACACUUGAUUAUCUACAAAGGAUCUAUGAACGCGGUACAACGAGAGGGGAUACUGCCGGUGACAAACCGGAGGAAGGUGGGGAUGACGUCAAGUCCUCAUGGCCCUUAUGGGUAGGGCUUCACACGUCAUACAAUGGUACAUACAGAGCGCCGCCAACCCGCGAGGGGGAGCUAAUCGCAGAAAGUGUAUCGUAGUCCGG
rnacentral:rRNA from 1 species